AACGAACGCUGGCGGCAUGCCUAACACAUGCAAGUCGAACGAGACCUUCGGGUCUAGUUGCGCACGGGUGCGUAACGAGUGGGAACCUGCCCUUAGGUUCGGAAUAACUCCCCGAAAGGGGUGCUAAUACCGGAUAAUGUCUUCGGACCAAAGAUUUAUCGCCUUUGGAUGGGCCCGCGUUGGAUUAGCUAGUUGGUAGGGUAAAAGCCUACCAAGGCGACGAUCCAUAGCUGGUCUGAGAGGAUGAUCAGCCACACUGGGACUGAGACACGGCCCAGACUCCUACGGGAGGCAGCAGUGGGGAAUAUUGGACAAUGGGCGAAAGCCUGAUCCAGCAAUGCCGCGUGAGUGAUGAAGGCCUUAGGGUUGUAAAGCUCUUUUACCCGGGAUGAUAAUGACAGUACCGGGAGAAUAAGCUCCGGCUAACUCCGUG
rnacentral:rRNA from 1 species